rnacentral:misc_RNA from 1 species
AAGUCGUAACAAGGUUUCCGUAGGUGAACCUGCGGAAGGAUCAUUAACACGUUCCACGUAUCAACCCGAGCACUCGUUUUUACUCUGAUUAAGCUCCAGUUUAGCACCCUACAAACCUCGCAUUUCAGUCCGCAAACGAUAAGGAAACAGACUGAUCAAGUCUGGCGGCUGGCGAUUUGGUAUAGUCUCCUCUGCAUGCAGAGGAGAAAGGGCUCUGGAUGUCUGGUCAUGCUUCUAUUCCUUGUCGAUCUUUCACAAUCAUUUACCCCAUUCCGAAACGUACUAAUUUAUAUUUCUUUCUUAAGAAAUUGGAACACUUUCUGCUGCUUUACCGCAGUCGGGAGCGCUCUAACCAACUAAGAAAAACCUUAAGAACAACUCUUAACAACGGAUAUCUUGGCUCUC